CAGAGCAAGUUAUGUCACAAUCGUGACCUCUGGCCUGUCCUCUUUGCCAUUUGAGCGAGGAGCUCAGAUGUCAAUCAGGUCUUUCAAUAAUCUAGCUUUUAUUCCUUACUUUCUAAAACCUCCCAAGGACUGAGGACCUCCUUCUCCUGCUUCUGGGAGUCCAUACUGGGAGCACUACUAGCAGGGACAAAAGGGAGAAGAUCCAGCCUGAAGGAGAAGAUAUUAGCCAUGACAGUGGCCGUGGGGCUCUUCUCGAACUACCAUGGAAAUCUCUGGGUCCCUCUGGAGUGAAGAUGAGCAUCCUAGUGUUGAGAAGCCAUUUUGAUAGGCUCUCCAGACAGAUUUCCAUUUUAAUGGAUGUGUCAGGGCGUCAAAAUAUCUGUGUUGCCUUCAAUCCUCAUUAAAAUGGAAGCCCAUUGCCACAGGGCGCAGAGGAGGUGUGUUGCAUAAUUUAUUGUUUUUG
rnacentral:lncRNA from 1 species